rnacentral:rRNA from 1 species
AUUGAGUUUGAUCCUGGCUCAGAAUGAAUGCUCGCAAAAGGCCUAACACAUGCAAGUUGAACGUUUUUGUGAUUGAUUAACCAGUUACGGUAUAAUCAAAUAACAGAGAAGUAGCGAACGGGUGCGUAACACGUAGGAAUCUACCAAAAAGUUCAGGCUAAAAUUCUGGAUAAAGAUAUAGAAAAGAAAAGCGUUCUUCACGCUUUUUCUUCUUUAUAUUGGAAAGAAAAUUCGCUUUUUGAUGAGCCUGCGGAGGAUUAGGUAGUUGGUAGGGUAAGAGCCUCCCAAGCCGAUGAUCCUUAGCUGGUUUGGAAGAAUGAUCAGCCACAAUGGGACUGAGACACGGCCCAUACUCUUUCGAGAGGCAGCAGUGAGGAAUCUUGGACACUGAGCGCAAGCUUGAUCCAGCUAUUUUGCGUGAGGGAUGAAGGCUCUUUUAUGGUCGUAAACCUCUUUCAUUGAGAU